GCCCCCAUCUUCUAGCGGUCCAGGCUGCACGCCUUUCAAGCGUUGCGACGCGGGUUCGAAUCCCGCUGGGGGCACCA
rnacentral:tRNA from 1 species